UACGGAGGGGGCUAGCGUUGUUCGGAAUUACUGGGCGUAAAGCGCACGUAGGCGGCCUUGCGAGUUAGAGGUGAAAGCCCGGGGCUCAACUCCGGAAUUGCCUUUAAAACUGCAUCGCUAGAAUUGUGGAGAGGUAAGUGGAAUUCCGAGUGUAGAGGUGAAAUUCGUAGAUAUUCGGAAGAACACCAGUGGCGAAGGCGACUUACUGGACACAUAUUGACGCUGAGGUGCGAAAGCGUGGGGAGCAAACAGG
rnacentral:rRNA from 1 species